CUUGUCCUGAGCCUCAGCGCAGAUGGUGCCCCCCAGGCUGCCCCUGUAGAAUUCCACCACGCCGGCGCAGUGCAGGCCCCGGGGCCCUGGCACCAGCUGCAGCCUGGGGGGAGCUGGAAGAGGAGAGAGCUAUUGGGCCCCAACAGCCUGGCCCAGCCCCAGCCGUUGCUGCCAUCUGAGGCGUGAACCAGAGGAUGGAAGCUCUCUGUCUCUCCUGCUCUCUCUGUCACUCUGACUUUCAAAUAAGACUUCUCAGAGCCUUAGCUAGGCCAGUGUAUACUGUCGAUCUCCAGUGAGGGUCCCACGUGUGCCACGGAACCCUGUUUGGGAAACGCUGGCCUAGGAGGACAGUCUAGCAUCAAAAGCAAGGUACUCAAUAAAGUGUACCCGUGCACAAGCCUCAGCUGCAAGUGGCCUCGACUCUGGAUUGCGGAGCCGGACUGAGAGGACGCGCAACUCUGCAAGCUGCACCUGGGAGCCAGUCCGUUUUCUGUGCCUGGUUCUUCCUUACCUGGCUCAUCCCAGCUGGACCAUCCGAGGCAGGAAGUGACUGCAGAGAGGAGAGAGCAAGGGUCAGGAAGUGGAGGCUGCCACCCUCAGCCCUGUGCCCAGCUCACACCCACCCACAGCUUGAGGGAGGGCCCCUUCUGCCUACCCACCCCAAGAUCACAGGGACAGGGAGUUUCUUUUAGUGGUCAGGUUGGCACCCCUAAGUGAUCAUGGGAUUAAAUGAGUGGCUGCAGCUAUUGAGCUUUCCUCCAUCUUAAAAACUUUCAUUUUAGGGGCCGGCGCUGUGGUGUGGCAGGUUAAUCCUCCACCUGCGGCACCGGCAUCCCGUAGGGGCACCGGCUCGAGUCCCAGCUGCCCCUCUUCCAAUCCAGCUCUCUGCUGUGGCCUGGGAAAGUGGUAGAAGAUGGCCCAAGUCCUUGGGCCCCUGCACCUGCGUGGGAGACUCGGAAGAAGCCCCUGGCUCCUGGCUUCGGAUCAGCACAGUUCCAGCCGUUGCGGCCAUCUGGGGAGUGAACCAACGGAAGGAAGACCUUUCUCUCUGUCUCUCCCUCUCACUGUCUAUAAUUCUACUUCUCAAAUAAAAAAAUAAAUUAAAAAUCUUAAAAAAAAACUUUCCUUUUAAAGUGAGCAGGCAGUGAAAUGGAUUUUUCUUCAGGGCACGAUUCUAGGAGUGUUACACAUACACGAUGUGUGCAAACGCAUCACCCUCAGAGUGCACACAGUUCCAUGUGCCACCCCUUGGUAGCAAUGCAACCAUCAUUUUUUUUUCUUAAGAAAUGGAAUGGAAGGAAGACUCAGAACAGGCAUCGCUUUUUGACUUGUCAGCUGCUUUCUAGGAUUCCCAAGGCAGUUAGCCGCUCACAGGUCUGGAGGUGGAGGCCCAAGCUCCAGGCGACAGAAGG